rnacentral:RNase_P_RNA from 1 species
CAGGCGAUCGCGUCCGGUUGAAAAGCCGGUCGAGGAAAGUCCGGACUGCGAAGAGCAGGGAGUCCUUUUGAAAAGAAGGAUACCGCGGACAAUAAGCCGCGGGAAGGCCAGUGCAACAGAAAGAAUACCGCCGCCGGUCCGCCGGAGGCAAGGGUGAAAAGGUGGGGUAAGAGCCCACCGGACGCUGAGCGAAAGCGGCGCCGCACAGGUAAACCCCUCCUGCAGCAAGACCAAAUAGGGGACGAGCCGUUGCUCGCGGCGUUUGGAGUCCCGGGUUCUGGUCGCACAGACAGAUGAUUGCCGCCGCGCCGGAGACGGUGCGGAACAGAAUCCGGCUUAUCG